GGUUAAGCGACUAAGCGUACACGGUGGAUGCCCUGGCAGUCAGAGGCGAUGAAGGACGUGCUAAUCUGCGAUAAGCGUCGGUGAGGUGAUAUGAACCGUUAUAACCGGCGAUUUCCGAAUGGGGAAACCCAGUGUGUUUCGACACACUAUCAUUAACUGAAUCCAUAGGUUAAUGAGGCGAACCGGGGGAACUGAAACAUCUAAGUACCCCGAGGAAAAGAAAUCAACCGAGAUUCCCCCAGUAGCGGCGAGCGAACGGGGAGGAGCCCAGAGCCUGAAUCAGUGUGUGUGUUAGUGGAAGCGUCUGGAAAGGCGCGCGAUACAGGGUGACAGCCCCGUACACAAAAAUGCACAUACUGUGAGCUCGAUGAGUAGGGCGGGACACGUGGUAUCCUGUCUGAAUAUGGGGGGACCAUCCUCCAAGGCUAAAUACUCCUGACUGACCGAUAGUGAACCAGUACCGUGAGGGAAAGGCGAAAAGAACCCCGGCGAGGGGAGUGAAAAAGAACCUGAAACCGUGUACGUACAAGCAGUGGGAGCCUCUUAAUGGGGUGACUGCGUACCUUUUGUAUAAUGGGUCAGCGACUUAUAUUCUGUAGCAAGGUUAACCGAAUAGGGGAGCCGAAGGGAAACCGAGUCUUAACUGGGCGUUAAGUUGCAGGGUAUAGACCCGAAACCCGGUGAUCUAGCCAUGGGCAGGUUGAAGGUUGGGUAACACUAACUGGAGGACCGAACCGACUAAUGUUGAAAAAUUAGCGGAUGACUUGUGGCUGGGGGUGAAAGGCCAAUCAAACCGGGAGAUAGCUGGUUCUCCCCGAAAGCUAUUUAGGUAGCGCCUCGUGAAUUCAUCUCCGGGGGUAGAGCACUGUUUCGGCAAGGGGGUCAUCCCGACUUACCAACCCGAUGCAAACUGCGAAUACCGGAGAAUGUUAUCACGGGAGACACACGGCGGGUGCUAACGUCCGUCGUGAAGAGGGAAACAACCCAGACCGCCAGCUAAGGUCCCAAAGUCAUGGUUAAGUGGGAAACGAUGUGGGAAGGCCCAGACAGCCAGGAUGUUGGCUUAGAAGCAGCCAUCAUUUAAAGAAAGCGUAAUAGCUCACUGGUCGAGUCGGCCUGCGCGGAAGAUGUAACGGGGCUAAACCAUGCACCGAAGCUGCGGCAGCGACACUAUGUGUUGUUGGGUAGGGGAGCGUUCUGUAAGCCUGUGAAGGUGGCCUGUGAGGGUUGCUGGAGGUAUCAGAAGUGCGAAUGCUGACAUAAGUAACGAUAAAGCGGGUGAAAAGCCCGCUCGCCGGAAGACCAAGGGUUCCUGUCCAACGUUAAUCGGGGCAGGGUGAGUCGACCCCUAAGGCGAGGCCGAAAGGCGUAGUCGAUGGGAAACAGGUUAAUAUUCCUGUACUUGGUGUUACUGCGAAGGGGGGACGGAGAAGGCUAUGUUGGCCGGGCGACGGUUGUCCCGGUUUAAGCGUGUAGGCUGGUUUUCCAGGCAAAUCCGGAAAAUCAAGGCUGAGGCGUGAUGACGAGGCACUACGGUGCUGAAGCGACAAAUGCCCUGCUUCCAGGAAAAGCCUCUAAGCAUCAGGUAACAUCAAAUCGUACCCCAAACCGACACAGGUGGUCAGGUAGAGAAUACCAAGGCGCUUGAGAGAACUCGGGUGAAGGAACUAGGCAAAAUGGUGCCGUAACUUCGGGAGAAGGCACGCUGAUAUGUAGGUGAAGCGACUUGCUCGUGGAGCUGAAAUCAGUCGAAGAUACCAGCUGGCUGCAACUGUUUAUUAAAAACACAGCACUGUGCAAACACGAAAGUGGACGUAUACGGUGUGACGCCUGCCCGGUGCCGGAAGGUUAAUUGAUGGGGUUAGCGGUAACGCGAAGCUCUUGAUCGAAGCCCCGGUAAACGGCGGCCGUAACUAUAACGGUCCUAAGGUAGCGAAAUUCCUUGUCGGGUAAGUUCCGACCUGCACGAAUGGCGUAAUGAUGGCCAGGCUGUCUCCACCCGAGACUCAGUGAAAUUGAACUCGCUGUGAAGAUGCAGUGUACCCGCGGCAAGACGGAAAGACCCCGUGAACCUUUACUAUAGCUUGACACUGAACAUUGAGCCUUGAUGUGUAGGAUAGGUGGGAGGCUUUGAAGUGUGGACGCCAGUCUGCAUGGAGCCGACCUUGAAAUACCACCCUUUAAUGUUUGAUGUUCUAACGUGGGCCCCUUACCGGGGUUGCGGACAGUGUCUGGUGGGUAGUUUGACUGGGGCGGUCUCCUCCUAAAGAGUAACGGAGGAGCACGAAGGUUGGCUAAUCCUGGUCGGACAUCAGGAGGUUAGUGCAAUGGCAUAAGCCAGCUUGACUGCGAGCGUGACGGCGCGAGCAGGUGCGAAAGCAGGUCAUAGUGAUCCGGUGGUUCUGAAUGGAAGGGCCAUCGCUCAACGGAUAAAAGGUACUCCGGGGAUAACAGGCUGAUACCGCCCAAGAGUUCAUAUCGACGGCGGUGUUUGGCACCUCGAUGUCGGCUCAUCACAUCCUGGGGCUGAAGUAGGUCCCAAGGGUAUGGCUGUUCGCCAUUUAAAGUGGUACGCGAGCUGGGUUUAGAACGUCGUGAGACAGUUCGGUCCCUAUCUGCCGUGGGCGCUGGAGAACUGAGGGGGGCUGCUCCUAGUACGAGAGGACCGGAGUGGACGCAUCACUGGUGUUCGGGUUGUCAUGCCAAUGGCACUGCCCGGUAGCUAAAUGCGGAAGAGAUAAGUGCUGAAAGCAUCUAAGCACGAAACUUGCCCCGAGAUGAGUUCUCCCUGACUCCUUGAGAGUCCUGAAGGAACGUUGAAGACGACGACGUUGAUAGGCCGGGUGUGUAAGCGCAGCGAUGCGUUGAGCUAACCGGUACUAAUGAACCGUGAGGCUUAACCUU
rnacentral:rRNA from 1 species